GGGGAGAGAGACAGAGAGAGAUGGACACUUGUGGCCCAGGGUGGAGGCAGCACAGGUGGCCGCCGGGCUGCCCCAUGGCGCUGGCUUACAGGGACUCCCGGCUCCUUCCUGCCCUUGGGCGGACGAUGCCACGUGCGCCAGGCUGCUGUCCCUCUCCUGAUUCCUCGUCUGUAAAGUGGAGACCACAGACACCAGCGGAGCAGAACGCCAUCCACCCAUCGGCCUUCAAGUCCCCACCGUGUGCCACCUCAGGUCUCAAAGACACUGAGGCCCGGGACCCCAGAGUCCACCCCGGACCAGAGUGUCAGCACCUCCAGGCUUGGCAGGGCCUGCUGCAUGGAGCAUCACCCUCAGAAGCUAAAGCCGAUCCCAUGGGCCCCCAUGUCCACAGAGCCAGGAUGGGAAGCGCCAGGUCAAGGGGUGAUUUGGGGGUCAUUUCAGACAGGGAGGGGCACCCCCGGGCAGAGGUGCAAGGGCAGAAGGCAAAAGCCAGAGGUCAGAGGUGAGGGCCUCUGGGAGACAGAGAGGAGACAGCCGGCUGGGCAGGGGGACAGAGGUGCUGAGAGGGACAGAUGGGCUUCAAGUCAGAGCAGGUGGGGCCUCCAGAUGGUUUUAAAAAAGGGGAAUAAGCCCGGGCAUGGUGGGGCACACCUGUGAUGCCAGCACUCAGAAGGCUGAGGCAAGAGGACGCUUGGGAGUUCAAAGCCAACCCGAACUACAUUUCUAGACCUUGUCUCAAAACACCAAAGCCAAGGGGCCAGGGAUUUAGCUCAGUGGUUUUGCUGCCUGCUGUGCAACCGCAAGGACCCGAGGUUCGAUCCCCUGUACCAAAACAAACAAAAAAACACCAAAGCCAACCACAACACACUCAGCACAACGCCCAACACAGAACAAAAAUACAAUACACAGCAUCCCAAAAGGAGGCAGUAGCAGGGCACUGGGUUCAAAUCCCACCUCAGCUGCUGUGGGCUCAGAGAUGGACCCAGGAAAAGCCAAGGGACCGGCCAGGAGAGUAGAGGGACCGCUAUGCUCGCUGGGACAGAACUCAAAGACAGCAGCUAGGACAGAGGGGGCGGAGCAGCACCACCAACCAGCGGGGGAUGCGAGGCCACAGCACAGCCACAGGGACGGCAGGGCAGGGGCACUGUCCCCAGGCGGCUCACAAGCCUCAGAGGACCGAACCGACCUGGUCCAAUCUCAGACCACGCCUAUAGUCCCUGCACUCAGGAGGCUGAGGCAGGAGGAUUGCCC
rnacentral:lncRNA from 1 species